UGAUCUGGGUUGGUGAUGAGUAGAUCGCGAACGUUUCGGUUCUUAGAGCCGGUUCUUUGAAGUGAACGACGGGAGCCAGACAGGUGUUUUGUCUGUUCAGCACACGCGACAAGAUACGACAGAAAACAGGUUGUUUUAAUAACUACAUGGUUCUGGUUUCAACGUGUAUUCAAUGCUACAGCUGUUGUCACCUACAAAACACGACCGUAUGAAACUCUCCACAAAGCAUACAGCCUCUAAUUAUCGUUUUUUUAUAUAAAUAUAUAUAAAAGUUAUUUUUCAUGUCUUCCAGCCGAGGAGUUCUGGCUUCAGAGAGAUUCUAGAUUCAUCCUGUGCAGUGAAUCUGUCUCCUUAUUUUCCCACUUCUUUCUCACAUCGUGGCUUUAGGAAACCUUCAAAAUAAAAACGGGAGAUUUGGGAGCCAUCUUACUUUUGACAGUGUGAAAGAAUUACAUAUUAACAACAGUCAUUGCCACCUGUGUAAACUGAUAAUAUAUUGAUUAUAAUGUUUUAUUUCUAACGUUGGCUCUUGUGAUAAUCUAAGUCCAUGUUAAAAAUGUUAAAACUUCUAACUAAAUCUGGGUGAGCCUUCCUAGCGGGGCUGAACCCGGUAUUACCCCGAGCGCUAUAGCUAAUAUUACUGUCAUUUUGCCGGUGGACAUAAAUACAGUAUAGUAAUAUUCUGAUCACAAAAUAUAAACAAUAUUAUGUCCAUCUUGUGAAAAGUUAUUUCCCGAGCUGUCAGGUCAACAGUCCAUCGAUGUAAACAAAAAUAUUCCGCAGUGCUGAAGUUUCUGCUGCUGCUUUGGUUCAGCCAAGAUGGCCGCUCCAAGAUGGCCGCCGUGUUUCCUGCAGCCAAGUUAGGGUAGGACUGGUGCAGAAUAAACAACCUGCUGCUGAACUCAACAAGACAAAAGAGAUCAUUGUCGACUUCAGCAGAUCUCGACCCAACCACACCUGUCCUCAUCGACGACAGAACAGUGGGGAUCGUCAGCAGCGCUAAGUUCCUGGGGCUUCACAUUACAGACGCCCUCAGCUGGACACCUCGCAUCGGUGAAAAAGACACAGCAGCACCUGCACUUUCUGAGACGAAUGAAAAGAGCUGCCCUCCUCCUCCCAUCCUCAGUGGAAGUGAACCACUGAGAUCCUGCUGACCAGCAGUACCUCCAUCUGGUCUGGAAGCUGCAAGGCCUCAGACUGGAAGCCUCUGUGAAGAGAGGUGAAGACAGCAGAGAGGGUCAUUGGGACUUCACUCCCAUAAGCAUUGCACUCAGAUGCUGCUUAGCCAGAACAAACCAGAUCCUCUGACUCCACCCAUCCUCUCCAUGGUCUGUUCAUCUGGUUGCCGUCUGGCAGGCGGUUCUGUAGCAUCCGCUGCAGAACCGCCUGACUCUCCCACUGGCCAUCAAAUUGCUCAACAAUCCCAUCACUAAGACUGUCUGAGACUGCUUGAAAAUACUAAGUUAUCUAUAUUUAGCAAUACAUUAUUUUUUCAAUAUUAUGUAAUUAUAGGCACACUUGUGUUUUGUGCGCUUGCUCCGGUGGCCAAGUGAUGACAAUUCAUUGCUAAUUUCACUUGUUUCAUUGUGCAGUGACAAUAAAACAAGUCUAAG